AUACGAAGGGUGCAAGCGUUAAUCGGAAUUACUGGGCGUAAAGCGCGCGUAGGUGGUUUUGUAAGUUGGAGGUGAAAGCCCCGGGCUCAACCUGGGAAUUGCCUCCAAAACUGCAUGACUAGAGUACGGUAGAGGGUAGUGGAAUUUCCUGUGUAGCGGUGAAAUGCGUAGAUAUAGGAAGGAACACCAGUGGCGAAGGCGACUACCUGGACUGAUACGGACACUGAGGUGCGAAAGCGUGGGGAGCAAACAGGAUUAGAUCCCCUGGUAGUCCACGCCGUAAACGAUGUCAACUAGCCGUUGGGAUCCUUGAGAUCUUAGUGGCGCAGCUAACGCAUUAAGUUGACCGCCUGGGGAGUACGGCCGCAAGGUUAAAACUCAAAUGAAUUGACGGGG
rnacentral:rRNA from 1 species